GAUGAACGCUGGCGGCGUGCUUAACACAUGCAAGUCGAACGAUGAAGCCCAGCUUGCUGGGUGGAUUAGUGGCGAACGGGUGAGUAACACGUGAGUAACCUGCCCUUAACUCUGUGAUAAGCCUUGUAAACUGGGUCUAAUACCGGAUAGGAGCGCCUACCGCAUGGUGGGUGUUGUUAAGAUUUAUCGGUUUUGGAUGGACUCGCGGCCUAUCUGCUUUUUGGUGAGGUAAUGGCUCACCAAGGCGACGACGGGUAGCCGGCCUGUGAGGGUGACCGGCCACACUGGGACUGAGAAACGGCCCAGACUCCUACGGGAGGCAGCAGUGGGGAAUAUUGCACAAUGGGCGAAAGCCUGAUGCAGCGACGCCGCGUGAGGGAUGACGGCCUUCGGGUUGUAAACCUCUUUCAGUAGGGAAGAAGCGAAAGUGACGGUACCUGCAGAAGAAGCACCGGCUAACUACGUG
rnacentral:rRNA from 1 species